UAUCCAAAAUCCAAAAUUUUAUUUGAAUAUGAAUUUGGAUUGAGCAGAUUUAUUCGAGCCUAAAUAAAGAUAGUUUUAAAUAUAAAUAUUAAAAAUAAAAAUUCGAUGAAUAUAAAUUUUGACUGUACUUAAUUUAAAUUCAAAUCCGAUCCGAACCCGAUCAGAACUCGAAUUUAUUUUACUAUAAUAUGUGUAUAAAAAUUUGAUAUUAUAUUUAAAUUUAUAUCUUAAAAAUUUAGAUUUAAAUUUUGUCGGAUUCGGAUUCGUGUUUAGAUAUGAAUUUUUAAAAUCCGUCGGGUUCAGGUUCGGACUUGGGUUUCGAGUUUAGAGUCGAGUUCAGGUUCAGGUUCGGACUUGAGUUUCGGGUUUAGAGUCGGGUUCAGAUUCAAAUUUUUAAAAAUCCACCUCCAGUCGGACCCGUGGACAUCCCUACUCAGAAGGGAGAAAGUCUACCAUAUAAUAGUUACACCACGUCAUUAAUAUGUAGUUAAUUAUAUUUUUUUUAUUUGAGAAAAAAUAUAAUACAAAUAUUUUU
rnacentral:lncRNA from 1 species